CUGCGGAAGGAUCAUUAUCGAGUUUUUGAAAUGGGUUGUAGCUGGCUUUUCUCCGGGAGGCAUGUGCACGCCCUGCUCAAUCCACACUCUACACCUGUGCACUCACUGUGGGUUUUCAGCCGGCGUUUGCAUCCGUGCGGCGUUGACUGUGGGCCUGCGUUAUCCACUACAAACCACACUGUCAGUAUCAGAAUGUUCAUACGUUUGCGAUGUUCAAACGCAUAAUUACAACUUUCAGCAACGGAUCUCUUGGCUCUCGCAUCGAUGAAGAACGCAGCGAAAUGCGAUAAGUAAUGUGAAUUGCAGAAUUCAGUGAAUCAUCGAAUCUUUGAACGCACCUUGCGCUCCUUGGUAUUCCGAGGAGCAUGCCUGUUUGAGUGUCAUGAAAUUCUCAAACCUGCAGGCUUUAUUUCUUUUGCUUGUAGGCUUUGGACUUGGAGGCCCUUUGCCGGUUCUAGUCAGUCGGCUCCUCUAAAAUGCAUUAGCCUUGUGCCCUUGCGGAUCGGCCCCUCGGUGUGAUAAUAAAAUCUGUCUACGCCGGUGACCGUGAAGCGUUUUGGCUUGGCUUCCCAACCGUCUCGCUGGAGAGACAGCUCUUUUGUGACAUCUGACCUCAAAUCAGGUAGGACUACCCGCUGAACUUAAGCAUAUCAAUAAGCGGAGGAAAAGAAACUAACAAGGAUUCCCCUAGUAACUGCGAGUGAAGCGGGAAAAGCUCAAAUCUAAAAUC
rnacentral:rRNA from 1 species